AAACACCACAAACAAUUUCUUCCUAAAUGUUCCACACUGAAACCUGUGAGGGCGCUAAAACGUUUUCAUAGCACUUUAGAUGCAGGCCCAAACCAUGAUACUACCACUACUGUGUUUUACAGCUGAAAAAGGUUCCAUUUUUGUGAUUUCCUGAUUCUACGGGUCUGGCAGUACUCAGGCAACCUAGCAGCGAAGUCAGAGGAAGCAUCUGGAGACCUCUGAGAGCAGAUUGUGUCAGAGUACAAAUAUUGGGAAUGAUCCAAAAGCAUCCAGCAGCACUGAUCAUCUAGGAAAGCUUCGUAGUCUCCAUUAUUAACAAAUGGAAGAAGUUUGGAACCAGCAGGACCAUCAGUAGAUCUGACCACCCAACCAAAUAAACCACCAACCUUUAAAACGUC